rnacentral:rRNA from 1 species
AGCGAACGCUGGCGGCAGGCCUAACACAUGCAAGUCGAACGAACCUUUCGGGGUUAGUGGUGGACGGGUGAGUAACACGUGGGAACGUGCCUUUAGGUUCGGAAUAACUCAGGGAAACUUGUGCUAAUACCGAAUGUGCCCUUCGGGGGAAAGAUUAAUCGCCUUUAGAGCGGCCCGCGUCUGAUUAGCUAGUUGGUUGAGGUAAUGGCUCACCAAGGCGACGAUCAGUAGCUGGUCUGAGAGGAUGAUCAGUCACAUUGGGACUGAGACACGGCCCAAACUCCUACGGGAGGCAGCAGUGGGGAAUCUUGCGCAAUGGGCGAAAGCCUGACGCAGCCAUGCCGCGUGAAUGAUGAAGGUCUUAGGAUUGUAAAAUUCUUUCACCGGGGACGAUAAUGACGGUACCCGGAGAAGAAGCCCCGGCUAACUUCGUG